rnacentral:lncRNA from 1 species
AUGAACAUUUCCUUCCUCUUUGUCAGUUUAUUCAAUGGGGUAAAGUUGCUUUUAGAAUCAACAUUGCCUCUUUUGGAGGACACAUUUAGGUAUAAACUGCAGUACAAGAAGCCAAGGACAGAAGAACUGGCUUAUACAUAUUCCUCCUUUGCUGUGGCUGUGUCACUCAACAGUGAUCAAAAAUUGAAUGUGUUUCUCUCAGCGGUGUGCCAAGAUGGACUGAUUUGGUCCGGAGAUGAAGAAGGAGGUGUGGAGUACAUGACCAUUGCCACCAAGAUCAGUGCUGUCCAACCAUUGGGAGGAAGUCUGAGAUGUCAGGAAUCUGGUUGCCUUCGUCUUCCUUCUCAUCCUGUGACACUGAAGCUCCUGCAGUUUCCUGCAGGCUGCUCUUUCUGCUUCAUCUUUCUCUUCUAUAGGAGGGAAAGGAUGUUUUCUAGCUGCAAGGAGGUUUCAAGGGUUGAUGUCUCUGAAGACUUCUUCAGUGGAAAGCUCUUGGCAUUUGCAAUACAGCUUCAUCGUGGUGCUGAAGUGGGCAAAAAGGUUUCUGCAGAGGAUGUUGUGUGUGACAUCUGUUGCUUAGACUUCAAGGCAUUUGCGGAGAUGAAGUAA